GAUGAAGAACGUAGCGAAAUGCGAUAAGUAAUGUGAAUUGCAGAAUUCAGUGAAUCAUCGAAUCUUUGAACGCACCUUGCGCUCUUUGGUAUUCCGAAGAGCAUGCCUGUUUGAGUGUCAUGAAAAUAUCAACCUUGACUUGGGUUUUGUGCUCUAGUCUCGGCUUGGAAUUGGGUGCUUGCCGCUUUUACGAGCGGCUCACCUUAAAUGUAUUAGCUGGAUCUGUCUUUGAGACUUGGUUUGACUUGGCGUAAUAAGUAUUUCGCUAAGGACAUUCUUCGGAGUGGCCUCGUUUCUAGGACGCUUGUCCGCUUUCCAAUACAAGUUCCACCUCGUGGACAUGACUUUUUAUUAUCUGGCCUCAAAUCAGGUAGGACUACCCGCUAAACUUAAGCAUAUCAAUAAGCGGAGGA
rnacentral:misc_RNA from 1 species